rnacentral:rRNA from 1 species
GAUGAACGCUGGCGGCGUGCCUAAUACAUGCAAGUCGAGCGACGCGGGGACGGGCUAGUAACACGUGGAUCACUUCCUAUAUGACUGGGAUAACUUCGGGCAACCGAAGCUAAACCUGAACCUUAUAGAUGGAUCCGCGCUGCAUUAGCUAGUUGGUAAGCUACCGGCUUACCAAGGCAACGAUGCAUAGCCGACCUGCGAGGGUGAUCGGCCACACGGGAAAUGAGACACGGGCCAGACUCCUACGGGAGGCAGCAGUAGGGAAUCUGCCGCAAUGGGCGAAAGCCUGACAGAGCAACGCCGCGUGAGUGAUGAAGGUCUUCGGAUCGUAAAACUCUGUUAGUAGGGAAGCGGUACCUAAUCAGAAAGCCACGGCUAACUACGUGCCAGCAGCCGCGAUAAUAC